rnacentral:tRNA from 1 species
UCCCCAGUGGCUCAGCGGUAGAGAAUCUGCCUGCAAUGCAGGAGAUGCAGGUUCAAUCCCUGGGUUGGGAA